ensembl:lncRNA JPX JPX transcript, XIST activator
GUGCAAUCACUGCGUCCUUACGGGGGUUGCAAGGCGUCCGAAGUAUGAGUCCACUAACAAAAGUCCAGAAACUCGCCAGUUAAUAGUAUUGUGUCUCUUCAAAAUAUCGGAGAAUAAUUUCUUUCUCGCUGAUCGCCUAACUUCUACUGACGAAGCUUGGAAGUUGCAGAAGACAUGAUGUAUUGAGUAAAAGGAACUUCGGUACACAGGCCUUUAGUGAUGUGGUGGUAAGAUGUAUGGGUCACAGUUUUUACAACUAUCCUAAUGGCCACAGUGUUUGUUGCCCUUCCUCCCACUGAGUAAGGACUUUGUUUUGUAGAUGGAGUAGGAUCUGAACAGAUUUCUUUGACCUUCCCAAAACAGAUUUUGUUCCCCUCUCCCAGAUGGAGUUCGCUCUUGUUGCCCAGGCUGGAAUGCAAUGGCAUGACCUUGGCUCACUGCAACCUCUGCCUCCCCAGUUCAAGUGGUUCUCCUGCCUCAGCCUCCCGAGUAGCUGAGAUUACAGGUACUGGCUCCUGUAUCACCCAGCUCUGGAGUUGAAAGAGCUCUUCAUUCCUGAGUCUCCUGUACCACUGAGAAUAGAAAUACAAAAAAAAUUCUAAAACUUGUAUGGAACUACAAAAGACAUUAAAUAAUCAAAGUAAUCUUGAGCAACAAGGACACAGCUGGAGGCAUCACUCUACCUGAUUUUGUAAUCCAUUAUCAAAAAACUGUGGUACCAGCAUAAAAACAGAUUCACUGACCAGUGGAACAGGAAAGCCCAGACAUAACUCAUACAUUUCCAUCCAAUUGAUUUUUGACAAAAGUGGCACACAGAAUGGGGAGAGGACAAAUAAAUAAAUAAA